rnacentral:rRNA from 1 species
UACAGAGGUCUCAAGCGUUGUUCGGAUUCAUUGGGCGUAAAGGGUGCGUAGGCGGCGCGGUAAGUCGGGUGUGAAAUCUCGGGGCUUAACUCCGAAACUGCAUUCGAUACUGCCGUGCUUGAGGACUGGAAAGGAGACUGGAAUUUACGGUGUAGCGGUGAAAUGCGUAGAUAUCGUAAGGAAGACCAGUGGCGAAGGCGGGUCUCUGGACAGUUCCUGACGCUGAGGCACGAAAGCGUGGGGAGCAAACAGG